UUCUAAGUUCCUUUGGCCCAUCUUCCACCCAAAUUCAGCAUCCCCUUCCACAAUAUCUCUGCCAAGUAACCACCGAACUCUCUAUUUAAUUUGUCUUAGAGUGAAGAGGUCACUAGCUCAUAUGAUGAUUCAUUUUAUUGUUGCUCAGAGGCAAUGAAAUGCCUGGAGAGUCUGAAGACGCGAUGCAUAGAGAAUUGUGACUCCAUCGAUAUAUGGAGCUGCUCAAUAAAAGGAAACAAAAUCCCUCUUCUGAAACAGAUGGACAAAUUUUCUCCAACAAAGAGAAUACGGAAAUUAAGUAUCUUGCUCAAGAUCACAUAUAUUGUCAGAAUAUAUAAAAAGAGGCAGAAGUUAAAUCUAGGCCAUCCUGACUCCAAAUACAUUUCAUCUGAUGUAUUCAGAGAGCUUCCAGACAUUAAUUAAAUUCGACAACACCCUGUGUGUUAAGUUGAAUUGUAAGAAAUGUGAAAGUGGAUGUCAAGAAACUGAUGUUUUAUUCUGAGCUCUUCCAUUAACAGAAUGUUUUGCCUUGGGUAAGUAACUGACUCUGAAGACCCCUGGAUCUCAAUUUCUGCUUCUGUCAAAUUGUAGAAAUGGACUCAGUGAGUGCUAAUGUACUUUUGCACUCUAAUUAUAUGCAUUCUCACUUAUUUAUCUUCUAGCUCUCACCUUUUGAGUUAUAAAAUCCCAUAUUGUUCUAACAUUCUAUGCUCUAUUUUCCAAUCCUACAAACAUUUAGCAAACACCUUCUAAAUGCAACAUUCUGCCCAAGAUGCUGGGAACACAGAGGCAAAAUGGAAAAUAGCAUCUAUCCUCAAAAAGACUAUUAAUUCUACCAAGGGAAUAUAUAAACAGAAUAAGUACAUGAUUUUUGAGGAAGGAAAGGACAUUAAGAACUAGCGAUUAUGCUUUUUGUCUCUGUUUUUUAGUUUUAACUUCACUUCCUCAUUUUAAAAAUAG
rnacentral:lncRNA from 1 species